CUACGGGCGGCUGCAGUGGGGAAUAUUGCACAAUGGGCGCAAGCCUGAUGCAGCAACGCCGCGUGAGGGAUGAAGGCCUUCGGGUUGUAAACCUCUUUUAGCAGGGAAGAGGCGAAAGUGACGGUACCUGCAGAAAAAGCACCGGCUAACUACGUGCCAGCAGCCGCGGUAAUACGUAGGGUGCAAGCGUUGUCCGGAAUUAUUGGGCGUAAAGAGUUCGUAGGCGGUUUGUCACGUCUGCUGUGAAAAUCCAAGGCUCAACCUUGGACUUGCAGUGGGUACGGGCAGGCUAGAGUGCGGUAGGGGAGAUGGGAAUUCCUGGUGUAGCGGUGGAAUGCGCAGAUAUCAGGAGGAACACCAAUGGCGAAGGCACAUCUCUGGGCCGUAACUGACGCUGAGGAGCGAAAGCGUGGGGAGCGAACAGGAUUAGAUACCCUUGUAGUC
rnacentral:rRNA from 1 species